rnacentral:sRNA from 1 species
GUAACGAGCAAGUUACAGGGGUUUUGCUGUAAAUGAUAAUAAAUCCAAAGAAAUUUCAAAAAGAUGUUAUAAGACAUGUUUUAUAAUUUGGAGAGUAACAGUAAAAGCACCUAUAUUUGCAACGUUAUCCUGAAAACAAUCUUUUUACCUUAAAAAAAAACUAAUACCUAUUGAAAACUGAAAAAUAGGGCUUUGUGAAAAGCCCUAUUUUUU